CCUACGGGUGGCAGCAGUCGAGAAUCAUUCACAAUGGGGGAAACCCUGAUGGUGCGACGCCGCGUGGGGGAAUGAAGGUCUUCGGAUUGUAAACCCCUGUCAUGUGGGAGCAAAUUAAAAAGAUAGUACCACAAGAGGAAGAGACGGCUAACUCUGUGCCAGCAGCCGCGGUCAUACAGAGGUCUCAAGCGUUGUUCGGAAUCACUGGGCGUAAAGCGUGCGUAGGCUGUUUCGUAAGUCGUGUGUGAAAGGCGCGGGCUCAACCCGCGGACGGCACAUGAUACUGCGAGACUAGAGUAAUGGAGGGGGAACCGGAAUUCUCGGUGUAGCAGUGAAAUGCGUAGAUAUCGAGAGGAACACUCGUGGCGAAGGCGGGUUCCUGGACAUUAACUGACGCUGAGGCACGAAGGCCAGGGGAGCGAAAGGGAUUAGAUACCCUAGUAGUC
rnacentral:rRNA from 1 species